CUUUCAACACAUCUAUACUCUUUAAUGGCUACUCUCUUCUCUUGUAGUUUUCCUUCAGUUCAAGCCAGGUCUAGAACUAGAGCACCUGACAUUUUUGCUUUUUCUCCAGGUAACAAGUCCUAUGCUGGUGCAUGUGUAUAUAUAUAUAUACAUAAAACAACCAAUUAUGUAUUGAGUGUUUACUAUAUUUGGGGCAGCAUGUAGAAACAUAAAAUGUGAUAAGGCAAGUCUAAAAUCUGGUUGAAAAAGUCAAACAAAGAUCAAGGGUAUAGUUAGAAAAAAAAUUAGAUCAUUUGUAAUGAAUGGUGGAGUGUAGAUUACCAGAAGCUGUUAACGUUUUCUCAACAUCUUGCUUUACUCUCUCUAGCCAACAAACAGCUCAGAAUAUUAAUUGCUUCAAUGUUCAUUUGCCACACCCUUUAAUUAAUCUAAGAAACAGUUCAGGCAGACAUCAACACUGUGGACAUUUUAGGAAAAUCCUUAACACUUGUGAAGACUGCUCUUUUUUUUUUUCUCUCUACCAAUAGAUGUAUCACAGCAGCAGCCAUAGAAAAGUUGAGCUGCAGAGUCUCAAAUCAUUUAUAACAUUCAGAUAAAUAAAAUGCACUUUCAGAACCUUUUGCUACAUUUCAUAGUAGACUUCCCCUCAACCAAUAAUGAGAAGAAAAAAAUGAAACCCUCUUCUUGACAACAAUUUGGACUCAGUAAGAAUGUAUUAAAUCAAUUGCCCUAGGACAAAAAAGAUAUUUGUCAUCCUGCAAAGGAUGAAAACUGACAGAUCUAAGGGUGGAACCCUCUUAUUGUUUAUGCUUCAUACCUCACAGCUUUAUCCUGAGGCCAAGGCCACCUGGUACCUUUUGCUAUACACACACAAAAGACUGACGUUUAUUUUAAUCUAUGAAAAAAGCAUAGACACCGUAGUGGCAAUGAAGUCCCAAUGGUCCUUUAACUACUUUGAGCUUUUCUGACAUUACUGGAUAGAAGCAGAAACAGAGAGAUGUUCAAAAUCAACUUCACAUUUUAAAACAUUCCCAUCUAACUGUCAACAGUCUUCCUGUUACAGGGAUCAUCAGAGAAUCACAGACUUGAGAGUUUUUGUUUGUUUGUUUACUUUAAUGAUUUUUAUUUUUUUCCAUUAUAGCUGGUUCACAGUGUUCUGCCAGUUUUCAGCUGCACAGCAAGGUGACCCAGUUACAUAUACGUGUAUACAUUCUUUUUUCUCACAUUAUCAUGUUCCAUCAUAAGCGACCAGAUAUAGUUCCCAGUGCAAUACAGCAGGAUCUCAUUGCUUAUCCAUUCCAAAGGCAAUAGUUUGCAUCUAAUAUGUGCGAAAUUAGUUUAAUUUAAUCAUCCACCCCCGCUUUUUCACUAAAGUAUGUUCCAAGUAAAUUUUGAAGUGUGCUUUUCAGCAACAGAGAAAAGGUAUAAUUCUACCAUCCUAUGUACUAUUUAUCAUGGAUUUGGGUCUGUACACCCUUGAUUUUCCAGUACCCCUUGUUCAUAACUCAUUUAUUUUCAACAACACAUUUUUGUGAAUUUGAAAUUGAAUUAACCUAAGUUUUAACUUAUAAGUUCUGUGUAGACUUUGGCAUUCAUCCAAAUGCUGUAACCCAGAAUGUGGUACAAUAAAUACAAAGCCUCUAACUUGAUGAGUGUUUUUGACUUGGAUUAUUGUGGAAACAAUAUUAUUGGAGGCAUGUACUUAAGGAAAAUUGUCAAGAAAUACCAAUGUUAUUCCUGAACCAUUGUAAAGCUGUCAUUCCUACCACUUUAAUUUCAGAAUUCCACUAUUACCACAUUUUCAUCAUUUAACUGGAGAAUAGUAUACUCUGGCAUAAGACUCAUUACUGAUUUAACUUGACAUCAUAUAUUUACAGUUUUAUGUGGGAUCUUCCUUUGACACUUAGAUACUUUUCAGAGCAAGAAGAAUCAAAUGCAAAAAUGGAAUUGGCUAACAAAGUAGUUCAACCAUUUAUAUAAAUAGUAUCCUAGUCAGAAAAUUUCUGAAGCUGUCCUUGGCCGCUUGCCCCUAUUCUUAGGCAAUUUAAUUGUGAGCCUGGUUACCACCUUCAGUAGGCGAGAACGUCCCUAUUCAUUUGUGUGUUCUUAAUACUGGGUACACAGCCUCAUUGACGUACAGUGGGCAUUACAUAAGUGUUUGAAUGAGUGAAUCAACUCAAGCUUUCUGUUUGGACUUGAAUGGGAAAAAAAAACUUCCAAUUGGAAAAGAAACAAGACAAUACAACACGCUGUACUUUGGAGGUUUAGCCGAGGCCAGUAAGUGAUAAAGUUGUGAUUUAAGACUUGGAAACCUAACUAAGGAUGCAAAUACUAAAUAGAGACAAAACUAGAGAAAUUGUGUUCAAGAGAUAACCAUUCGAGAAGGAUCUGCUCCCAAACUUCAACAACUAACAAAUCAAUGCAAGCUAUUUUCUGGUGAAACUGUUAACAUUUAGUGACAAAGGGUUAAAGGCAUUCUAUAAUGACCUACUUUAAGGAAGAAUUGUGAACUGCCAUUUAAAUGGCAGGAAUUUGCUAGGAUUUUAUCCCUAACAAGCUCAACCUGCCACCUGGUGGUAGCUUCCCUGAAUUGCAGAUGUUUGGUCUGGGGUGCUCAAGGCUAUUGGUGAGGAACUGUGCCCCAAAUCCCACCAACACAAAGCAAUGGAGGUGAUGUGAGGUCUUGUGGACCUUAGGAAUACACCGCCACCACCUCAAACCACCACCACCACAACGAAAUCACACACAAAGGAGAAAAGAUUAAAAAACAAACAAACAGAAGCUGUUUUCAUUUCCUGUCCUCAAAAAGACGUCUGGUCUAGGAUGAAAUUUUGGAACCAAUGCAGAUUGUGUUCAGUACUGGGCCCAUUCCCUUCCUGUGCCACUUUUUUGCAUCUACCAGUAAAACUAUUGCCCUCGUCCAGCCCAAUAGCUCUUCUGACCACAUGAGACCUAAGCACAUCCACUGUGUGCUUGGAAUUUUCCUUCUACUCUAACAUAGCUACCAGUACUUUGAAAACGCACACGUCCAGAAUCCCAUGAAGGUGAUACAAGGUUCUUCCUUUGUUAAAGUUCCAAGACCUAGAUCAGCUUAGAACAAUAAAAGUGUACAUAAUAAGUAAAUUAAUUACUGUAAAGGAUUUUGUUUGUGUGUGAUGCCAAGCAUUUUUUGUUCUUUUUUGUUCAUACCUGUGGCAUAUGGAAGUUCCCGGGCCAGGUAUUGAAUCUGAACUGCAGCUGUGACCUGUACCUGUGGGAACUCCAAAGAUAAGCAUUUUAAUAAAGGUGUCUCUCUUUGCACAAAUGUGUUUCAAAAUACUGAUUGAUGAUAUGAUGACUAAGAUGAGUUGUGUUUAUAAAUAUUACAUGAAAUAUAAGCAGAAAUAUGUUAAUUACUUAUUGUUAUUGUAGUUUAUGUUCCAGAAAGCUUUAAAAGAACAAGAAGCUUUAUAAACUACCAGAAUACAAGCUUUAUUUUCCUUAGUCAAGGGUCUAAAACCCAAGAAAUUAGGCAAUUGUUCAGGAGUAGAUGAGAUAAAGCUGAUUCAAGAGGAAAACAAUGAGACUUUUUAUUAAAGGACUGUUUCAGAAAAUGUCUCAUUUACCAAGAUGCUAAUCAAAUUUCCAUGGCACUUGGUUCCUAUAAACAGUGCCCAAACAUCUUGCCCCAAAUGGGCAAGGUCAGCUUAAUUGUUUUAUCAUUUCUUGGUGUGAAGCCAAGGUCAGCAUUAAGGCAAAACUCUGGGAUAUUAUGCAGUUACCAAAAUGGAGAGUUCCUUGAGAAGUCUGGAGAUGUACAUCAAAGUGGGACUGAAAUUUUGAAUACAUCUUUUAAGUGUCCUUUCCUCACUCUCUAUAGCAUAUUCGAUCAAAAAUUAGAGACACCACAUUUGACAUAAAGGUCAAUAAGGUAUUUCAUGCCCGAAUAUUUAAAAUUAAGAAAAAAUGCAUACAAUAAAGAACGAAAAAAAUGGAGAAAUGGAGAGAAAGUGAAAGAGAUAGGAUAGAUACAAUUUUACAGAUUAAAGCACUAAAAUGUUUGGGAAUUUAAUCUGUAUAAAGUCCAUGUGGGAGUUCCUGUUUUGGCACAGUGGAAACGAAUCCGACUGGGAACCAUAAGGUUGCUGGUUUGAUCCCUGGCCUCGCUCAGUGGGUUAAGGAUCCGGUGUUGCCAUGACUGUGGUGUAGGUUGCAGACAUGUCUCAGAUCUGGCAUUGCUGUGCUCUGGUGUAGGCCAGCGGCUACAGCUCCGAUUAAACCCCUAGCCUGGGAACCUCCAU
ensembl:lncRNA